rnacentral:misc_RNA from 1 species
UUACUCCAGAAUGGUCUACAUA